rnacentral:rRNA from 1 species
UGGGGAAUCUUGCACAAUGGGCGCAAGCCUGAUGCAGCCAUGCCGCGUGAGUGAUGAAGGCCCUAGGGUUGUAAAGCUCUUUCAGUGGGGAAGAUAAUGACGGUACCCACAGAAGAAGCCCCGGCUAACUCCGUGCCAGCAGCCGCGGUAAUACGGAGGGGGCUAGCGUUGUUCGGAAUUACUGGGCGUAAAGCGCACGCAGGUGGUAACGCAAGUGGGGUGUGAAAGCCGCCAGCUCAACUGGCGGAGGCCAUCCCAAACUGCGUCACUUGAGGGCUGUAGAGGUAUGUGGAAUUGCCGGUGUAGUGGUGAAAUGCGUAGAGAUCGGCAGGAACACCCAGGGGGAAGCCAGCAUACUGGACAGGUCCUGACACUCAGGUGCAACAGCGUGGGGAGCGAACCGGAUUAGAUACCCCCGUAGUCC